ACUGAACAGAUUAUGAGAAAACAGCAUUAAGAAUAUGAGUUGGCAAAAUGGCUGUGUGCUAAACUUCAGUUUGAGAAACCAGAUUUUAUUGCAGAUUCCAGAUUUUCAGAAGGGAUUCGGGCUGGGUCUGUUGAAACCAUGCUUCAAUCAAUUAAUGGAUCCCAUCAAAGUUGCUAUUGAUCUUGUAGAGCAGUGUUUCCCAAACUUUCAACAUCUGUAUACCCCUUCUAUAAUUUCUGUAACACUGAGUACCCCUCAUCAAAAAAAAAUUGCAUAUACUUUAAUAACAAUCAAAACAUAUUUAUUUUUUCCUUUUUUAAUAC
rnacentral:lncRNA from 1 species